rnacentral:rRNA from 1 species
GACGAACGCUGGCGGCGUGCCUAAUACAUGCAAGUCGAGCGAAAAGUUUCUGGUGCUUGCACUAGAACAACUUAGCGGCGAACGAGUGAGUAACACGUAAAGAACCUCCCUCAUAGACUGGGACAACUCUGGGAAACGAUAGCUAAUACAGGAUAACAGUAUUUCUCGCUUGUGAGAUGUUUAAAAGUUGGUUAUGCUAACACCAUGAGAUGGCUUUGCGGUUCAUUAGAUAGUUGGUGGGGUAAAGGCCCACCAAGGCGACGAUGCAUAGCCGACCUGAGAGGGUGAUCGGCCACACUGGGACUGAGGCACGGCCCAGACCUCGACGGGAGACAGCAGUAGGGAAUCUUCCGCAAUGGGCGGAAGCCUGACGGAGGAACGCCGCGUGAGUCAAGCAGGACUUCGGUUCGUAAAGCUCUGUUGUUAGGGAAGUAUGGAUCUGUAGUAACUAUACAUGUAAGGGACGGUAGCUAUCCAGAAAGCCACGGCUAACUACGUG